rnacentral:rRNA from 1 species
UCCUCCCUCUUUCUUCGUGCUUAACACAUGCAAGUCGAACGGAAAGGCCCUGCUUGCAGGGUGCUCGAGUGGCGAACGGGUGAGUAACACGUGGGUGAUCUGCCCCUUAUUUUGGGAUAAGCCUGGGAAACUGGGUCUAAUACUGGAUAGGACCAUGCUGUAGGUGGUGUGGUGGAAAGAUUAGUUUCGGUAAGGGAUGAGCUCGCGGCCUAUCAGCUUGUUGGUGGGGUAAUGGCCUACCAAGGCGUCGACGGGUAGCCGGCCUGAGAGGGUGGACGGCCACAUUGGGACUGAGAUACGGCGCAGACUCCUACGGGAGGCAGCAGUGGGGAAUAUUGCACAAUGGGCGCAAGCCUGAUGCAGCGACGCCGCGUGGGGGAUGACGGCCUUCGGGUUGUAAACUCCUUUCAGCCAUGACGAAGCCCUUGUGGUGACGGUAGUGGUAGAAGAAGCACCGGCUAACUACGUG